rnacentral:rRNA from 1 species
GAUGAACGCUGGCGGCGUGCCUAAUACAUGCAAGUCGAGCGAACGGACGAGAAGCUUGCUUUUCUGAUGUUAGCGGCGGACGGGUGAGUAACACGUGGAUAACCUACCUAUAAGACUGGGAUAACUUCGGGAAACCGGAGCUAAUCCCGGAUAAUAUUUUGAACCGCAUGGUUCAAAAGUGAAAGACGGUCUUGCUGUCACUUAUAGAUGGAUCCGCGCUGCAUUAGCUAGUUGGUAAGGUAACGGCUUACCAAGGCAACGAUGCAUAGCCGACCUGAGAGGGUGAUCGGCCACACGGGAACUGAGACACGGUCCAGACUCCUACGGGAGGCAGCAGUAGGGAAUCUUCCGCAAUGGGCGAAAGCCUGACGGAGCAACGCCGCGUGAGUGAUGAAGGUCUUCGGAUCGUAAAACUCUGUUAUUAGGGAAGAACAUAUGUGUAAGGAACUGUGCACAUCUUGACGGUACCUAAUCAGAAAGCCACGGCUAACUACGUG